CGGGGGGAGCAAGCGUUGUUCGGAUUUACUGGGCGUAAAGGGCGCGUAGGCGGCCACCGCAAGUCGACUGUGAAAUCUCCGGGCUUAACCCGGAACGGUCAGCCGAUACUGCGGGGCUAGAGUGCAGAAGGGGCAACUGGAAUUCUCGGUGUAGCGGUGAAAUGCGUAGAUAUCGAGAGGAACACCUGCGGCGAAGGCGGGUUGCUGGGCUGACACUGACGCUGAUGCGCGAAAGCUAGGGGAGCGAACGGGAUUAGAUACCCCGGUAGUCCUAGCCUUAAACGAUGAAUGCUUGGUGUCUGGGGUUCUAUAGUCCCCGGGUGCCGUCGCUAACGCUUUAGGCAUUCCGCCUGGGGAGUACGGUCGCAAGACUG
rnacentral:rRNA from 1 species